rnacentral:rRNA from 1 species
UACGGAGGGAGCUAGCGUUAUUCGGAAUUACUGGGCGUAAAGCGCACGUAGGCGGAUAUUUAAGUCAGGGGUGAAAUCCCGGGGCUCAACCCCGGAACUGCCUUUGAUACUGGGUAUCUCGAGUCCGAGAGAGGUGAGUGGAAUUCCGAGUGUAGAGGUGAAAUUCGUAGAUAUUCGGAGGAACACCAGUGGCGAAGGCGGCUCACUGGCUCGGUACUGACGCUGAGGUGCGAAAGCGUGGGGGAGCAAACAGG